GGUCCUCUAAGGUUUCCCCAGCGUCUUCUCCAGGCUGAAUAAUCUCAACUCAACCUGUCUUCAUAGGAGAGGUGUUCCAUCCCUCUGAUCAUCUUUGUGUCCCUCCUCUGCUCUCCCCAUGAGGAAGAGCCCUUGGCGUUCCUCCUCAUGGUGGGUGGGUGUGUGGGACCAUGAUCUCUCUGUCACCUUGGCUGUAGGCCAGGAGGAGAGGUGGCCUCCCAGCAGGACAGGGUGCCACCAGUCAGCAGCUGUGUGAGGGCAGCGGUGCGUGUGGCAUGAGGGGGACAGGCCCUGCCAGCCCUGGCCGAGGCGGGACACUGUGAGUGCCUGGGCCCAGCUGCCAGCCAGCCUCCCUGCUUUCCCAAAGCAGGCCCAGCACCAUCCAAGGUCACCCCCAGCACUUGCACACAGGCUGUCACUGGCGAGUGCAGGGGAUAUUUUUAGCAUGUUGGAGGCAGUCUCCUAGCUACAGCUUGGAGAACUCAGCUGGGCAGGGGCUGGCAGUCCUCAGCCUGCACAAAAGCAAACUCUUCUCAUAAAUCCUGCUCUUCAGGCCAAAUCCUGCUCCAGGCUUGCUGCUGGUUUGGUGGGAACAUUGCCCAGCUUCAUUAAGUGCUGCGUCUUCUGGGAAAUAACCCUGUGUUGGAGCUUCAGCUGUUCAAGGUGUUGCGAGCUCUGGACCAUCUCCAAGAAAGCUCCUAGGGAAUGGUCAGAUUUAGGAAGAAAAAGAAGAAAACCUCAGACUUCGGGUGCUUAUCUCCUUUUAGAGAUCUACAGAAAUCAAUAUUCAAGCUAAAAGAUAAAGAAAUGUAACAAAAAGAAGAAGAGGAUAAUAAAGAC
rnacentral:lncRNA from 1 species